UACGUAGGGUGCGAGCGUUGUCCGGAAUUAUUGGGCGUAAAGAGCUCGUAGGCGGUCUGUCGCGUCGGAUGUGAAAGCCCGGGGCUUAACUCCGGGUCUGCAUUCGAUACGGGCAGACUAGAGUGUGGUAGGGGAGAUCGGAAUUCCUGGUGUAGCGGUGAAAUGCGCAGAUAUCAGGAGGAACACCGGUGGCGAAGGCGGUUCUCUGGGCAUUACCUGACGCUGAGGAGCGAAAGCAUGGGGAGCGAACAGG
rnacentral:rRNA from 1 species